GAUGAACGCUGGCGGCGUGCUUAACACAUGCAAGUCGAACGUGAGAGGAUAGCAAUAUUCUUGAAAGUGGCGCACGGGUGAGUAAUACGUAGGUAACCUGCCCUGGAGUGGGGGAUAACAACUAGAAAUGGUUGCUAAUACCGCAUGAAGCCAAGACACUGGGAAGUGACUUGGUAAAAACUCUGGUGCUUCAGGAGGGGCCUACGGCCGAUUAGCUAGUUGGCGGGGUAAGAGCCCACCAAGGCAGUGAUCGGUAGCUGGUCUGAGAGGACGAUCAGCCACACGGGAACUGAGACACGGUCCCGACUCCUACGGGGGGCAGCAGUGAGGAAUAUUGGGCAAUGGGCGAAAGCCUGACGCAGCGACGCCGCGUGGAGGAUGAAGGUCUUUGGAUUGUAAACUUCUGUUAAGUGGGAAGAAAGGCAAAGUUUUAAUACAACUUUGAUAUGACGGUACCAUUAGAGAAAGCACCGGCUAACUCGUGCCAGCAGCCGCGGU
rnacentral:rRNA from 1 species